CCCGAGGUACUCAGCACCUCACCACUCCCUCUUCAGAGCCCCAAAAAAGGGAUGGGUUAUCAGGAAAAAAGGGGUUUAAGCUGAGGGAAAAAGCUUCCUUUUCCACAAUUGCCUGUGUUCAAAUUGAAGAGGAAUCCACUUUCCCUGCAAUUUUAAUAGUCUCAAUGGGAGGUAACUGUGCUUUUUCUGUGCUGUUAGAGGUAUCAACUGACAGAGACUGUCCAUUUUCUAUUUUUUCCCACUUUAAGUGGAACGGGAAAGCAUGGAUGAUGCUUCCUUAUGGAUCUGAAUUAAGGGGAAAAUGCCCCCUUUUCCAUCACCAGAGAGAUUUAAAGUGAGGAAAACUACUUUUUUCCCCAAUAUCUGAGGGGUUUAAAUUAAAGGGGAGAAGCCAUUUAUUUACCACUGUAUUUGUUUAAAUGGAGUUAGCUGUCCCGUUUGCUCAUUUUAAGCGUUGCCUUUUCCAGCAUUUCAAGGGUUUAAAGCUGCAUUUCAGGGCACUUCUACCCACACCCUGGCACCAAAUAUCUGCGACGGGAGCGAGGCCAGCAGGAGAAUUUCCAGAAGUUCUAGGUCACAUCAAGUGCGAUACUUCAGAUUCUCUCAGCAGAUUCAUCGUAACACAAAAGGGAACCGCCCCCGCAGCAGCUUUCCUUAGCAGCGGAUCGUCCCCUCGCACAGAUUCACUUCAGAGAGAUAAGACGAGGGCUGUGGUCACAGAGGGGAUAAAAACAGGGCGGUGGGCCCUCCCAGGAGCUUAUAAGAAACCCCAGCUCCUUCUGUUCAUCUCCCAUCUUUGCGUUCCUCGGCCCGGCACCGGCGAAGCUUCUAUGCGGGAGUUCGGACAGGCGUCAGAAUCGCAUCUGUCUUUAGAAGCGUGUGAUCGGAUGUUUUUUUAGGUCUCGUUCUCAGCUGUGUCAACAGCUAUAUGCAGCAGUGUUUCUUUACAGUGGAUAAGGACUUGUGCCGAUUCAAAGGCAGGCAGAGGCUUCCAGCCACAGGAUUCUCAGGCAUCUGUCUCUGCGGUUCUUGGAAAACAGUUGUUCCGUUAGCAUCUUUUCCCUCCAGGGUCAUCUGAUCCCGGCAGGCUCGCCUCGGGUCCCUCCUCGGUCAUCUCGUUCAGCAUUCUCUCGGUCCUCGUCAGGACUUUCUUGUCUCAGAGAGUUUUCUCUCCCUGUCACGUCCCCUCGUGUCACGGGUGUCUGGGGGUAUUUGGUCCGGAGCUGCUCUGCCCUGGCGCCCAGCCCGGUUGUAGGUGUUUAAGGACAAGUCCCGGGCACUUGUAAUUGGAGAUUUGUAAUACGGGCUGUAGUUGGAGUCUAGCUGGUAUUCUUAUGUUGGCAGCAGGUGUCUGGAGCUGUGAAGUUACCCUGCAGCACUUUGACUUUUUUCCUAACUUUCUUUCAGAUUCAGACAGAUUGACCUCCUGGCAGAACACCUGUCCCAGAUGAGGGGGUCCCCCUGAGAAGGAAGUAAAGCUGGAAAGCAGCGGGGAAGGCAAAGCAGGUGGGAGGCUGCCUCCUGAUGCUGUGCUGAGGCCCCCUCACUGACCUGCCAAGAGACCCGGUUUGCUUCUCUGGCGUACCCUGCGACGAUGGCAUCCGCCUAGGAGCGUGGCUGAAGCGUGCGGCCGGAGGACCCGGGAGUUCCUAAGAGCUGGUGAUGACACUUGUCUGAGACAACAGCCCGGUGAGAGAAGAAGUUCCCAGACAGCGAGGUGGCUUUGUUUGGCUCCUGACCGGCCUCUCGCCGUGACUCACAUCUUCAGCCCUCUGAGAGAUAAGUGGAGCCCACAGAGGGGAUCAAAGCAGGGCGGCGGUCGGGACUGAGAUCGGUUUGGGUUUUUGAGUGAGCUUUGGGGAUGGGGAGGUUCUGGAAAUGACCCCAUAGGCCCCAGUGAGGGAAAGCCUCACUUUGGUUAACAAUGCUGAGGCAGGCAGGGCAGAGCAGUCCCAGGGUGUGUUGUCACUUGUCUCUCGUGCCUUCUGUGUCUUAUGUGCAUC